rnacentral:lncRNA from 1 species
UGGGUUCUCGUGAUUACUACUCUAGAGUACAGUGAGUGAAGUAUAAAUCUUCCUGUUGUAAAGCAUCUCAUGGCUAUUUGAGGUAGAUGAACUGUGAUUAUGCUAAAUAUUGAUGCGAACUGAAUUGAAUGCUUGAGAUAGCAAAAUACCUUGAAUGCGUUCGAACUGAUGGAUUGUUAUUGAGGUUGAAUGUAACGUAUAUCAACUGAAAUGAAUUGAGGGAGCAAUGAUUUAUCGAAUGAAUGAGACUUUGGACUGGAAAUAGCAAAGUUUAGAACAAAGCUUACCUUGAGAGCUUCGGCUGAAUGAGCUGGGGCUAUUCUGUGAUUUUCUUUUGGG